AAACCCUCAGUGCAGCGCUUGUGUCAGGCGCAAUCUCGCAAGAUCCGGUGAGGCGCUACGUCGUGCUCCACUCGGUCCCAAAAGUACCUGCAAGCGCUACACACUUGCGCUCGGCGCCCUUGCUCUGUUCUCACUUUCCGAGAUAUCCACGCAUCUUGAGUCCUGCAUCCACUCCCGGGAGGCGGCUGCGGCAAGCGCGUGAUGGAAGAAGAGCGUGAUAGCCAGCUAGACAGGUGGCCAGAGCGGAGCGGUGGGUGAGAUGCGGGCUAAGGAGAGGGCAGAUGCCUAAAGUGCCUGCGGGACGGUGGAGAGGUGCCCGAAGUCCUUGUUGGGGUGGUGGAGAGGUGGCUGAAAUUCUUGCGGGAUAGUGGGGCGAUGGCUAAGUGCUUGCAGGACAGUGGGGCGAUGGCUAAGUGCUUGCGGGACAGGGGAGAGGUGGCUAAGUGCUUGCGGGACAGUGGGACAGUGGCAAAGUGCUUUCAGGACAGUGGAGCGAUGGCUACGUGCUUGCGGGACAGCGGAAGAGAUGGUUAAAGUGAUUGCCAAGCAGCAGAAAGAUUCCUAAAAUGCUUGCCAGCUAUGCGGAGAUGAAGGUAAAAUGCCUGCGUAGUCCCGAACCGAUAGUUAAAAUGCCUGCCGCAUAACGGAGGAAUAACUAAAAUGUCUGCUGGGUCCUGGAGCCAAAAUUUAAAAUGUCUGUCCCUUACAGGUGGUUAGACUACCGGUCAGGGACCUGGAAAGAUAGCUAACAUACAUGCCACGUUCCCGGACUAAUGGCUCAAAUGGAUGCCUGGGACUGGGAGACUUUACUAAAAUGCCUACCACCGGGGACCUGGGCUAUCACUAAAAUGCCUGCCACCGGGUACUGGGAGGUCACUAAAAUGUCUGCCACGGGGUACUUGGGCUAUCACUAAAAUGCCUGCCACCGGGUAUCUGGGCUAUCACUAAAAUGCCUGCCACCGGGGACCUGGGAGGUCACUAAAAUGCCUGCCACCGGGGACCUGGUAGGUCACUAAAAUGCCUGCCACCGGGGAUCUGGGAGGUCACUAAAAUGCCUGCCGUCGAGGAUCUGGGCUAUCACUAAAAUGCCUGCCACCGGGGAUCUGGGAGGUCGCUAAAAUGCCUGCCACCGCUUACUGGGAGGUCACUAAAAUGUCUGCCACGGGGGACUUGGGCUAUCACUAAAAUGCCUGCCACCGGGGACCUGGUAGGUCACUAAAAUGCCUGCCACCGGGGAUCUGGGAGGUCACUAAAAUGCCUGCCGUCGAGGAUCUGGGCUAUCACUAAAAUGCCUGCCACCGGGGAUCUGGGAGGUCGCUAAAAUGCCUGCCACCGCUUACUGGGAGGUCACUAAAAUGUCUGCCACGGGGGACUUGGGCUAUCACUAAAAUGCCUGCCACCAGGGAUCUGGGAGGUCACUAAAAUGCCUGCCACCGGGGAUCUGGGCUAUCACUAAAAUGUCUGCCACUGGGGAUCUGGAAGAUCGCUAAAAUGCCUGCCACCGGGGACCUGGGCUAUCACUAAAAUGCCUGCCACCGGGGACCUGGGCUAUCACUAAAAUGUCUGCCACUGGGGAUCUGGAAGAUCGCUAAAAUGCCUGCCACCGGGGACCUGGGCUAUCACUAAAAUGCCUGCCACCGGGGACCUGGGCUAUCACUAAAAUGUCUGCCACUGGGGAUCUGGAAGAUCGCUAAAAUGCCUGCCACCGGGGACCUGGGCUAUCGCUAAAAUGCCUGCCACCGGGGACCUGGGCUAUCACUAAAAUGCCUGCCGCCGCCAGGGACCUGGGGAGAUCGCUAAAAUCCCUGCCUUAUAACCAACCCCUAGAGGUCGACUAAAAUGUCUGCUGGGCAGAGCAGAGGUGAUGAAAAUGUCUGGGAUAGCGUAGAGAUGGUUGGCUAAAAUGUUACAGGUAGAUAUGCAAAGCGUUCAAUAAGCCUGGCGUGGGUAAUAAACUGCAGUCUAGAGCGGAAAAGAAAGUUAAGGGCGUGACUUGUAGCAGGGUCUAGAAUCCACACACUCACAUCAGGGAAAGCCUCGUGUCCGAAAAACUCUUUGGAAUAGUCUUAAUAUUUUAAUAUUGCUCAAGCCAAAUUCAGCAAUACUACCUCACCGCACGUGUCUUUUUCAGGUGAGGUUUCAAUGAUUUACAUCGACCAAGAACCCGCAGCCUCGGUCUCUCGAAUCGGAUCCGACAUCAUCCAACACUUCAGUGUUAGAAUUGCAAGCAUGCGCUCUCCCGACCUGGGCAGGCACUUCGAAAAAAUGAUGACUAAAGACACACGUGAAGUACCAAGCGAAACUCACGUCCUUAUGGGACAGUGACUCAUCACAGUCUAAUUCCAUCCUGGCCACCAAGCAAUAAUGCACAUUUCUAACUGGAAGUCAAGCAAACACCAACACUUUCACACUUGUGCCCAUUUCUGACGAGUUACGUCAAGUGGCAACCAACACUUCCACUUAGCCUUGCCUCAGCUUCGAGUGGCACAAGGUAGGACCAACCACACCCUACCAUAAUGCACCAAGUGUACCCUCGGGCAAAGCCCGCCAAGUAGCUAAAGCCCGCCAAAAAAAAAAUCACUGAAAGAAACCACUAGAGGGCAGGUCACAUGACUUCCGCCAUCUUAGACACAUUCAAGAGCAUGUGCCACCUCUCCAGGCUAACUCAGACAUGAAGCUGACAUGUGACACACAAAGCCCUUUGCGUUAUACCGCACCAAGAACUUGAGCCGCCAUCUUUUCCUGUACGACCUAAAUGUCCUAUAAUCCAUUGCUACACACCAGAACAAAGAUUGGGCUGUCGAGCCUCGGGUGGAGCCCCCGAGCCGCCAUUUUAUAGACUUCUGAGCAGCCCUUAAAGCCACGGGGGACCGCGCCAGGGGUCCAUAUGCACACACACCCUGCCCAAUCCCCACACCCACGCUGAGCCCUAUCCCCUAGUCCUCUGCGGCUUCCGCGCAACACCGCACACUAAUACGAGCACUCCUUGGCUUUCUACUUCCGGCUAGCACAACCCCGCAAAUGCUACCACAAAUCAAGGCGAAUCCCGCAACCCCGCACAUAUAAAGAAAGCCUUUAGCUAGCGCAGCGCAAUUGGUUGCUUUUAUCCAGUCCGCUGUGCUCCUCGGUGUCCUAAUUCUUGGCGUAACUGGCUCGAGAAUAGCCGUAUCACGCAGAAGCCAUAAUGGCGGACGCGGGCUCUCCACGCCCUGAACACCCACUCAGUUUAAGAGCAAAGUCGUUUUUCUAAGCCAUAGGUUCAC
rnacentral:lncRNA from 1 species